GGAGGGUGGGCCAGCGCGCCCGGGGCUCCUGGGGGAGGGAGGCGGCCCUCCGUCACCGGGGGUCCCUGACCCCUCCGAGGGGAGCUGCUCAGAGAGCACCGACUCUUUGCCGGCCAGAAGUGAAUCAAGCUUUCUCCCCCCAGGGGAGCCAAAUCUCCCUCCAGCCUGGCUCCGGUGGCCCACCCGCCCCCUGCCCCCCAGUGCACACCCUUCUCUGUUCGGGGAUCCCGUCCUGGGAGCCCCCCAGCCCCCAGCCCCUCAGUCCCUCAUUCGCUCACUCAACAGCUAUUGAACACGACGUCCAGUGCGUCAGGGGAUUGAAUGUGGGACAAGACAAGGCCCUGACUGCCCUUCUCUCCUGAGGUUGACCGGGAGUGACAAUGAACUAGUAAAUCCAUAAAUACAAUAAUUACAGAUUGCUAUCAGGACCCCAAAGAUGCAUCUUCAAGUCACAUUUCCAGUACGCCCCCACAUCCACGAUCCUGCCCCACCCUCGGGCCCCCUGAAGCAUGGAAACACCUGCAGCCAGCCCCCAGGGACAGGAUGAAAUUGCUGACUUCCAGACUGCACGCUGGGCUCCUUCUGAAUCAGAAGCCCUGGGGAUCUUCCGGGAAGCUGCAUACUCAACAUCACUCCAGGUGACUCUCAGACCACUGCAGUGCUGCCUUCGGGGAAGACAAGCCUGGAUCCUCCCCUCUUCCUGGGAUGGGGAAUUUCCUUCUUGAACCUUGACUAAGCCCAUCUGGGAAGUCAGCUGGGAGGGAAAGCCUGGGUUCACUGCCCGCACCCCGCCAGGCAAGCGACAAGCGCAGGCAAGUGCAGCCCUUCCCUCUCCUCCUGGGCUCCAGCCCCUGGGCCCUGGGCCUGAGACCAGGGGGGCCCCAUGCGGGAGGAGUAUGGUACUCCUUCUCCCCCCAGCCCCUGGUGUUGAGCCCUCACAGCUGCGCUGUGCUGGGAACAGGCCAGGCAUUUGUGAAAUCCUCGGGUGAGCCUGACCCACUGUCACGAGGACUGCCUGUGGAAGCUGGUGCAGGGAGGGGGAUGGGGGCUGUUCCCAGAAGCGGGGAGAACUCUGGACUUCCCACUCCUGAGUGCUCUGCAUUGCAGCGCGGCCUUAAGCAACAGCAGUGGUCUGGAAGGCUGCACCGCAGAGAACCAGAGGCCCCAGGCUCUCUUCUGAAAAGAAACUAGGGCUCUGAAUGCUGAAACUUCCACGCACUCCUCCUUACCCGUCGCUGCUGCCACUCGCAGUGAAGACCGGGCCCAGCCUUAGAGAAAGGCGGACUCAAGGCUAGACUUACAAAAAGAAGAAGAAGGGGAAGAAGAUAACCAGAAUGCUAGUUUGUUAUGUACAUUAUACAAGAAAAUGUAUUUCCUUUUUUUUUUUUAAAUGAUUUUAUUUAUUCAUUUGAGACAGCGGGAGCACGAGCUAGUGCAGGGGAGCAGAGGGAGAGGGAGAAGGGGAGCCCAACACAGGGCUCCAUCCCAGGACCCCAUGAUCAGGACCAGUGCUUAACCCACUGAGCCACCCAGGUGCCCAAGAAAAUGUUUUUCCUUUCACUCCCUGCUCCCCAAAUCUCCACUCUUCCUUUGGAACAGAAAACCUUACGUAAUACCUAUAUCAUACAGCAUGUUAAAGACACGAAAUACAAAACCUGGUGAUUCAGGAGGCCGCCGUACUGCCCAACCGCGGGGAUGCUGUUCACAAUACACUCUUUGUGGUUGGGGUCCCAGAAAGUCAUGUGGUGGGGGGCUGCUGGGUUUGGGAAUUUUAGGGUACAUUAGCAGCGCCAGACCCUUGCCUUAACGACACUCCAGGGCAAACCCAAGGCUGGUAGGAACUGUGUUCUGGGUGCUGUGGCCAGGGCUGGAGAUCCAUGCCAACCAAGAAGCAUUUAGCCUUCGGGAUGCUUACAGUCUGAAAGGGGAACCAGACGUGAAAAGCAAGAAGUAUCCUAAAAAGGAGUGGGUGUAAAAAUAAAAUGUUAUACAGCCUACAGCGGGGGGGGGGGCCCAGGAGGAAAUGACCAACAUUGGUUUCCCAGAAGAGGGGCCACUGGUGAGACAAGGCAAAAACAGCAGUUGUCCCCUCCCGCAGGCAGGCGGUGUGGGACACAGGGCAUCCUAAUGAUCCGAAACAGGGAAAUGGCCCGGAAAAGGGAAAAAACCUUAGGGAACUUGAAGAAGUUUGGUAUGUCCCCAUCGGGCACAUCCACGCCAGACUCAUCGUCUAAAAAUACUGCUUUUGUGACAUCACAUGCAAGACCCACUCCCGUAGGGGCCACACUGGUUCCUUGGACGUUUUCUUCUCAGCUGGAUUCCAGUGCUUGUCAUGCUGUCACCUGAGUGGAAACCCGGCCUCACCAGCUCCCCACCCCACGCACCCCACGCUGGCAGAUACCCUUCCUUCCACCAGGGUGCCCUCCUCAUCUGCCCACCACAGGCAUUCCCCACCCCUGUGCUCCCUUGUGAGCCCAUGUCCUGGCCUGUUGGGGUUAUCCCACCCAAAGGCUCGGCCUGCCCGCCCCCUCCCCCUCCCUCUCUCUGAGUUCUGUCCCUCCUUUCAGGCUGCCUCCUUUCCCGCCUCCUCCCUGAAGCUCUCCUUGGACUCAGAGAGUUUUGAGACCUCUCUUCCCUUGUAAGGCGUCUGCGGGGCCAUUGCUACUUGUUUACCACCUGGUCACAUGGUGUUAUGGUUCCUGGACUUCUUCCCACCUGGACUGUGGACACUUAGAAGGAAGAAACUCACUCUGGGGAUGCCUGGGGGGGGGGGGGGCUCAGUCAGUUGGGCAUCUGGUUUCGCCUCAGGUCGUGAUCCUGGGGUCCUGGGAUGGAAUUCUGCGUCAGGUUCCCUGCUCAACGGGCAGCCUGCUUCUUCUCCUGCCUGCCUCUCUCUCUGUCAAAUAAAUAAAUGAAAUCUUAAAAAAAAAAAAAAGAAAGAAAGAAAGAACAAAACUCACUCUUGCCCAUUCCCUCAAUGAUUAUUUACUGAAUGCCUACUCUGUACCAGGCUCUGUAUCUGCUCUUUUAUGUUCUUCACAAAACCCACCAGAUUAGGAGGCGCUAGUGGAAGCCCACGAGGCACUUGACCUGAAGCUGUACAAAACGAGAUUGUCUUUAAAUGAUGGGGUUUCGGAAGUCGUUAGAGUAUUAAAUCAUCUACGGUUUUUUA